AUUGAACGCUGGCGGCAGGCUUAACACAUGCAAGUCGAGCGGGGAGGUUGCUUCGGUAACUGACCUAGCGGCGGACGGGUGAGUAAUGCUUAGGAAUCUGCCUAUUAGUGGGGGACAACAUUCCGAAAGGGAUGCUAAUACCGCAUACGCCCUACGGGGGAAAGCAGGGGAUCUUCGGACCUUGCGCUAAUAGAUGAGCCUAAGUCGGAUUAGCUAGUUGGUGGGGUAAAGGCCUACCAAGGCGACGAUCUGUAGCGGGUCUGAGAGGAUGAUCCGCCACACUGGGACUGAGACACGGCCCAGACUCCUACGGGAGGUAGCAGUGGGGAAUAUUGGACAAUGGGCGGAAGCCUGAUCCAGCCAUGCCGCGUGUGUGAAGAAGGCCUUUUGGUUGUAAAGCACUUUAAGCGAGGAGGAGGCUACUAGUACUAAUACUACUGGAUAGUGGACGUUACUCGCAGAAUAAGCACCGGCUGACUCUGUGCCAGCAGCCGCCGUAACAC
rnacentral:rRNA from 1 species